CCUGGAGGAUUUCCUUUUCAUGCUGUUCUUGUGGGCUGUUCUUGCCUCUUAUAAGGUAAAAGAAAUGUCUUUUCUCUCCAGACCAUGUGGGCUUCAAAACAGCAGCUUGUCCAGGAAGCCCCUCCAGAUAGUAAGACUCAGAUAGCAAGAGUUUAUAGGAAGUGCAGAUAGUAAACGUCUAUAAGAAAUGCAAGGGCACUCUGAUGUAAUCUUUUGCCCAUCACAUUAAUGUGCUGCCUAGGCUGUACAGACCUUCAGACAUAUCCCUCUUUAUUGUGGACCAAUUCUGAGUGUGAGGAGUGGCAAGACAGCAUGUUGGAACAUUAAUCAGCUGGGACUAGACCCAUGGAACUCAAGUAAUUCAGGUAGGCCUGGAGGUGAAGUUGGAUGAUCCACACUUGAAAUCUGCGUACUGUUUAUAGAUCUAAAUCUUCUUUAGGGAAACUCAGAGAUAUCCCAGUCAAAGCUGAAAGAACAGGAGAAGGUGGGUAUGGCCUGCACAGAAAAGCCCUAUCCAAGGCCUAUACGUACUCGUCCUCAGGCCCAAGGUGCAGUGCUGCAUCUCUGGUCAACUGGGAGUCUGAGAUGAAGCACUGUAGCUCGGGAAUGGGGGCAUUGCUACAGUUAAAAGAUAUCAGUGUUAUGGUAAAAUUGACUUUGUAAGAGUAAAAGUCAUUAUAUUUCUAUGUAUAUGCCCUCUCAUCCCUGCCCCCGGGGUCCAGUUUUCCCAGGAAUCCCUUGGACAGUCACAAGGGGAUUCCUGGAAAUACUGUUCUUGGGGGUGGGGUGUGACACUGUGAAUGUAUUACACAAAAUGACAGAUUCAGUUAAAAUGUGUAGUUUAAUACAGUGUUCAUUCAUUGUUUGUUGUUGUAAAAUUCACAUUUUACAAAUUCCUUUGUAGAUAUAAGCCUCCUGCCAUUUUCCAAUUUUUGAACAAAUGCUAUGCGUGACUCAAAACAUAAAUCUGUUGAAGGAUCGACGGUUCCAGUUAAUGUCUACAUCUAAAUGUCUGCCUAAAUCACUGCAUGUUUUUCUUCUUGCACUGUGCAAAAUUUAAAUCCCUGCCAACAAUGAAUGAGAGAAUAAAUUGUGCCACCUGUUGUCUAUCACAAAAUUUUUGCAUAUGCUUUACACACUAGAAGGCAGGGUUGAGCUUAGUGUGGCAGAUCUCACAAAAGAUACUGUCAUGGACUAUGCACUAAAGAGCACUAUAUCAGCCAUAUGGAAAAAUGUAUUGCAAUAUUGUAAACUUUUUUAUAGGUUAUACCUGAGCGAUGUAUGUUUCCAAUCAGGCAUUAAAUCCACAGCUGACUUCUGUAUCAAAAGACA